rnacentral:rRNA from 1 species
UACGUAGGGUGCAAGCGUUAAUCGGAAUUACUGGGCGUAAAGCGUGCGCAGGCGGUUGUGUAAGACAGAUGUGAAAUCCCCGGGCUCAACCUGGGAACUGCAUUUGUGACUGCACGGCUGGAGUGCGGCAGAGGGGGAUGGAAUUCCGCGUGUAGCAGUGAAAUGCGUAGAUAUGCGGAGGAACACCGAUGGCGAAGGCAGGUCUCUGGGCCACUACUGACGCUGAGAAGCGAAAGCGUGGGGAGCAAACAGG